rnacentral:rRNA from 1 species
GACGAACGCUGGCGGCGUGCUUAACACAUGCAAGUCGAACGGAAAGGCCCUGCUUUUGUGGGGUGCUCGAGUGGCGAACGGGUGAGUAACACGUGAGUAACCUGCCCUUGACUUUGGGAUAACUUCAGGAAACUGGGGCUAAUACCGGAUAGGAGCUCCUGCUGCAUGGUGGGGGUUGGAAAGUUUCGGCGGUUGGGGAUGGACUCGCGGCUUAUCAGCUUGUUGGUGGGGUAGUGGCUUACCAAGGCUUUGACGGGUAGCCGGCCUGAGAGGGUGACCGGCCACAUUGGGACGGAGAUACGGCCCAGACUCCUACGGGAGGCAGCAGUGGGGAAUAUUGCACAAUGGGCGGAAGCCGGAUGCAGCAACGCCGCGUGCGGGAUGACGGCCUUCGGGUUGUAAACCGCUUUCGCCUGUGACGAAGCGUGAGUGACGGUAAUGGGUAAGAAGCACCGGCUAACUACGUG